UGUCCACUAAUUAUGGACUAGUAUGAAAGGCAAAAUGAGGGUUUAACUGUCUCUUAUAGUAAGUCAAUUAAACUGAUCUACCAGUAAAAAAGCUGGAAUAAACACACAAGACCAGAAGACCCUGUGAAGCUUAAACUAAACUAUUAAACCACAUAAUAACUACUUUCGGUUGGGGCGACCUUGGAAAAAAAAGAACUUCCAAAUUAGUGACAAUUAAUCACCCCCAGGCCAACAAGCCACAUAUGACCCAGCACACCUGAUAAUUGAACCAAGUUACUCCAGGGAUAACAGCGCCAUCUUCUUCAAGAGUCCAUAUCAAAAAGAAGGUUUACGACCUCGAUGUUGGAUCAGGACAUCCUAAUGGUGUA
rnacentral:rRNA from 1 species